rnacentral:sRNA from 1 species
AUGACUGCGAAAGACACGGCCCCCGG